UACGUAGGGACCAAGCGUUGUUCGGAUUUACUGGGCGUAAAGGGCGCGUAGGCGGCGUGACAAGUCACUUGUGAAAUCUCUGAGCUUAACUCAGAACGGCCAAGUGAAACUGUUGUGCUAGAGUGCAGAAGGGGCAAUCGGAAUUCUUGGUGUAGCGGUGAAAUGCGUAGAUAUCAAGAGGAACACCAAUGGCGAAGGCAGCUCUCUGGGACGGUACUGACGCUGAGACGCGAAAGCGUGGGGAGCGAACAGG
rnacentral:rRNA from 1 species